rnacentral:rRNA from 1 species
AUUGAACGCUGGCGGCAGGCUUAACACAUGCAAGUCGAGCGGGUGAUGGUGCUUGCACUAUCACUUAGCGGCGGACGGGUGAGUAUGCUUAGGAAUCUGCCUAUUAGUUGGGGACAACAAUUCGAAAGGGAUGCUAAUAACGCAUACGGCCUACGGGAGGAAGCAGGGGGACAACUGUGACCCUGGCCCAAUAGAAUAGCCUAAGUCGGAUUUGCUUGUUGGGGGGGUAAAGGCCUACCAAGGGGAAGAUCUGUAGCGGGUCUGAGAGGGAUGAUCCGCCACACUGGGACUGAGACACGGCCCAGACUCCUACGGGAGGCAGCAGUGGGGAAUAUUGGACAAUGGGGGGAACCCUGAUCCAGCCAUGCCGCGUGUGUGAAGAAGGCCUUAUGGUUGUAAAGCACUUUAAGCGAGGAGGAGGCUCUUUUGGUUAAUACCCAAGAUGAGUGGACGUUACUCGCAGAAUAAGCACCGGCUAACUCUGUGCCAGCAGCCGCGGUAA